rnacentral:lncRNA from 1 species
UAUUAUAUGUGAAUAUUUAAAAAUAUUGGAUCUGCAUUAAAUCAGCAUGAAAUAUAUUUUUAUGUUUAUUUGCAGUAUUAUUCUUGAAAAUUAUAAAAUAUCUAGUUGAGAUAUUUGUUACUUACUGGGCUGUCUAGCUCAUUACCUUUCUUUCUAUUUUUCAGAUUCAGAUAAUUAAUUUCGAGCGUGGGACGAAAUAUUGGGACAGAGCUUUUAGAAGCGAGAUUAGCAUUGUCAACUUCAUUGAAC